CGAGUCUUCUAUGCUUGUCUUUCGGGGUUACAUACGAGUUCUUAGUAACUCUUGUUUGACACCCUGGGAAAAGUCCCCGGGUCCAGGAUAGAAAGUAUCAAGGCGUAAAAAGUAUUUAUUAAAAUGCUCAAAAGACUCUCGUCCGAUAGUUCGCUGUGCAAUUUUAAUUAAUAUUCGCCUAUAUUCCAUGGAAAUUCUCUUAGCAUGAAAUCAAUGAAGAGUCAAAGUUUGACGAAUUGAUGCUAGGUGUCCAUGGAAACGUGCCAGAUAAAAUUCUUAGUAAUAGACAACCGAAAUGCGUGCCGAUUUCUCUUAGAAACCGGCAGGUGUUUACAUAAUGGGGCUUACAUUGGGAGAUUC
rnacentral:RNase_MRP_RNA from 2 species